AACGAUAUUUGCGGCUCACUGCAAUAUCUCACCAUUGAAAAUGUGGCCCAAAGAUUAUGGUCCAAACGAAAUUGAAAACGGUCUAGAACAAUAUGACUUCAUAGUUGUAGGAGCCGUAAGUUCUGGAUCCGUUGUUGCUAGUCGGGCUAAGUGAAGAACGAAAUCGGAGAGUCCUUCUAUUAGAAACUGGUGGAGAUCCCUCAAUUGAAUCAAAGAUUCCAGCAUUUGCUGAUGGUUUGAGAA